UGAGGAAUUUUGCGCAAUGGACGAAAGUCUGACGCUGCGACACCACGUGAAUGAUGACGUCUUUCGGGAUGUAAAGUUCUGUCAGCAGGGACAAUAAUGAUGGUACCUGCAGAGGAAGCACCGGCUAACUAUGUGCCAGCAGCCGCGGUAAUACAUAGGGUGCAAGCGUUGUUCGGAAUUACUGGGCGUAAAGCGCAUCAAGGCGGCAAUCUAAGUCAAAUUUGAAAUACAGGGGCUCAACCCCUGUCCGGGUUUGAAACUGGAAUGCUAGAGUUUGGGAGAGGAAAGCGGAACUAACAGUGUAGCGGUGAAAUGCGUAGAUAUUGUUAGGAACACCCGUGGCGAAGGCGGCUUUCUGGACCAAAACUGACGCUGUCGUGCGAGAGCAUGGGGAGCAAAC
rnacentral:rRNA from 1 species